AGCUUUGUGCAGUGGCAGUAUCGUAGCCAAUGAGGUUUAUCCAAGGCACGAUUAUUGCUAAUUGAAAACUUCUCUCAAUUUCCACAUAUAAGUGAAUCCCCAAAUUUCUAUCUGUUCUUAAUUUCUUAUUAUGUUCUAUUGUGGUCAGUAGACA
rnacentral:snRNA from 1 species